rnacentral:misc_RNA from 1 species
GGGUGAGCGAGAUGGAAUUUGGGCUUGGCAUCGAUUUAACAGGUUGUUCAACUGGCUUCCUCUGGCAGCAUUAAUCGAGAAAAAGAUAAUCUGUAUGCAUGGUGGUAUUGGAAGGUCAAUUAAUCAUGUUGAACAAAUAGAAAAUAUCCAACGCCCUAUUGCUAUGGAUGCUGGCUCAAUUGUUCUUAUGGAUUUAUUGUGGUCUGACCCUACAGAAAAUGAUAGUGUUGAAGGAUUAAGACCCAAUGCAAGAGGCCCUGGGUUGGUCACUUUUGGGCCUGAUCGUGUGAUGGAAUUCUGCAACAAUAAUGAUCUUCAACUGAUUGUCCGAGCGCAUGAAUGUGUGAUGGAUGGAUUUGAACGAUUUGCUCAGGGACAUUUAAUUACACUAUUUUCAGCCACCAAUUAUUGUGGUACUGCUAAUAAUGCUGGCGCAAUCUUGGUAUUGGGUAGAGAUCUUGUAGUUGUUCCAAAACUUAUUCACCCAUUGCCACCAGCACUUUCAUCACCCGAAAAUUCACCUGAGCGUAUGGAAGACACUUGGAUGCAGGAGCUAAAUGCUAACAGACCACCUACGCCAACUAGAGGUCGUCCUCAAACUGCCAAUGAUCGAGGUUCUCUUGCUUGGAUUUAGAUAGUAGUGAAGAUUGUUCCCUGCACUUCAGGCUCCUGCUAACAUCGAGGAAUUCCAGUUGUAUGUACAGCAUGAUGCCAUUUCGAAAAAUGGCGGAGUUAUAGAUAUCUUGUAGAGAUAUGAGGCUUCGAGACCCUAGGGAUCUUCAACAGAAAGGACAGGCUUCAGACAGAGCAAGAUUGAAACUUUCCCAGGUUGCAGAUGCACCUGUUCAACUUGAUUGAAGCAGUUGAGGGUUUCGAGUUGGGGCCUUUGUAAAUUAAGCCACAGGCAAGUAGAAGGAAUUAGAGUCUUCUUCGUUAUCAAGGGCUUGUAGUGCUGGAUUUUUGUUUUGUUUAUUGUACUUUCUCAGCGUUGUUGAUAUAUAUAUUUUUCUUCUUUUUAGGUGUAUUAUUUUUGUCUAUGGUAAAAGAGGACUUGAGGUCCCAUAUAUAUAUAUAUUAUUGAUGAAAUAUAUAUAGUCCUGAAAUCUCUGUUGGGAGUUCUUGUAUCAUAGAUAGGGGGUGUUAAAUUUGUGUAAUUUGUGAUGAUACCUUGUACAAUGUAACAAUUUGAAGAAGAAAAG